GGGUGAGUAGCGCAUCGGAACGUGCCCAGUUAGUGGGGGAUAGCUCGGCGAAAGCCGGAUUAAUACCGCAUACGACCCAUGGGUGAAAGCGGGGGACCGCAAGGCCUCGCGCUAUUGGAGCGGCCGAUGCCCGAUUAGCUAGUUGGUGAGGUAAAGGCUCACCAAGGCAACGAUCGGUAGCUGGUCUGAGAGGACGACCAGCCACACUGGGACUGAGACACGGCCCAGACUCCUACGGGAGGCAGCAG
rnacentral:rRNA from 1 species